GUGCUUCCUUCGGCAGCACAUAUACUAAAAUUGGAACUAUACAGAGAAGAUUAGCAUGGCCCCUGCACAAGGAUGACACGCAAAUUCAUAAAGCGUCCCAUAUUUAA
ensembl:snRNA U6 U6 spliceosomal RNA